rnacentral:rRNA from 1 species
GAUGAACGCUGGCGGCGUGCCUAAUACAUGCAAGUCGAGCGAACGGACGAGAAGCUUGCUUCUCUGAGGUGAGCGGCGGACGGGUGAGUAACACGUGGGUAACCUACCUAUAAGACUGGGAUAACUUCGGGAAACCGAAGCUAAUACCGGAUAAUAGUUUGAACCACAUGGUUCAAAAGUGAAAGACGGUCUUGCUGUCACUUAUAGAUGUAUCCGGGCUGCAUUAGCUAGUUGGUAAGGUAACGGCUUACCAAGGCAACGAUGCAUAGCCGACCUGAGAGGGUGAUAGGCCACACUGGAACUGAGACACGGUCCAGCCUCCUACGGGAGGAAGAAGUAGGGAAUCUUCCGAAAUGGGCGAAAGCCUGACGGAGCAACGCAGCGUGAGUGAUGAAGGUCUUCGGAUCGUAAAACUCUGUUAUUAGGGAAGAACAUAUGUGUAAGUAACUGUGCACAUAUUGACGGUACCUAAUCAGAAAGCCACGGCUAACUACGUG